rnacentral:rRNA from 1 species
AUUGAACGCUGGCGGCAUGCCUUACACAUGCAAGUCGAACGGCAGCGGGGGAGAAGCUUGCCUUUCCUGCCGGCGAGUGGCGAACGGGUGAGUAAUACAUCGGAACGUGCCCUGUAGUGGGGGAUAACUAGUCGAAAGAUUAGCUAAUACCGCAUACGACCUGAGGGUGAAAGUGGGGGACCGCAAGGCCUCAUGCUAUAGGAGCGGCCGAUGUCUGAUUAGCUAGUUGGUGGGGUAAAGGCCUACCAAGGCGACGAUCAGUAGCUGGUCUGAGAGGACGAUCAGCCACACUGGGACUGAGACACGGCCCAGACUCCUACGGGAGGCAGCAGUGGGGAAUUUUGGACAAUGGGCGAAAGCCUGAUCCAGCAAUGCCGCGUGUGUGAAGAAGGCCUUCGGGUUGUAAAGCACUUUUGUCCGGAAAGAAAUGGCUCUGGUUAAUACCUGGGGUCGAUGACGGUACCGGAAGAAUAAGGACCGGCUAACUACAUGCCAGCCGCCGCGGUAA